rnacentral:rRNA from 1 species
AGUGAACGCUGGCGGCAGGCCUAAUACAUGCAAGUCGAACGGCAGCACCGUGGAGCUUGCUCCAUGGGUGGCGAGUGGCGGACGGGUGAGGAAUACAUGGGAAUCUGCCCAGACGUGGGGGAUAACGUAGGGAAACUUACGCUAAUACCGCAUGCGCCCUUCGGGGGAAAGCCGGGGACCUUCGGGCCUGGCGCGAUUGGGUGAGCCCAUGUUCGAUUAGCUAGUUGGCGGGGUAAAGGCCCACCAAGGCGACGAUCGAUAGCUGGUCUGAGAGGAUGAUCGGCCACACUGGGACUGAGACACGGCCCAGACUCCUACGGGAGGUAGCAGUAGGGAAUCUUGCGCAAUGGGCGCAAGCCUGAUCCAGCCAUGCCGCGUGAGUGAAGAAGGCCCUCGGGUUGUAAAGCUCUUUUGUCCGGGAAGAAAAACAUCGAGCUAAUACCUCGGUGUUCUGACGGUACCGGAAGAAUAAGCCCCGGCUAACUUCGUG